rnacentral:rRNA from 1 species
AGUGGCGGACGGGUGAGUAACGCGUAAGAAUCUAACUUCAGGACGGGGACAACAGUGGGAAACAACUGCUAAUACCCGAUGUGCCGCAAGGUGAAACCUAAUUGGCCUGGAGAAGAGCUUGCGUCUGAUUAGCUAGUUGGUGGGGUAAAGGCCUACCAAGGCGACGAUCAGUAGCUGGUCUGAGAGGAUGAGCAGCCACACUGGGACUGAGACACGGCCCAGACUCCUACGGGAGGCAGCAGUGGGGAAUUUUCCGCAAUGGGCGAAAGCCUGACGGAGCAACGCCGCGUGAGGGAGGAAGGUCUUUGGAUUGUAAACCUCUUUUCUCAAGGAAGAAGUUCUGACGGUACUUGAGGAAUCAGCCUCGGCUAACUCCGUGCCAGCAGCCGCGGUAAUACGGGGGAGGCAAGCGUUAUCCGGAAUUAUUGGGCGUAAAGCGUCCGCAGGUGGUCAGCCAAGUCUGCCGUCAAAUCAGGUUGCUUAACGACCUAAAGGCGGUGGAAACUGGCAGACUAGAGAGCAGUAGGGGUAGCAGGAAUUCCCAGUGUAGCGGUGAAAUGCGUAGAGAUUGGGAAGAACAUCGGUGGCGAAAGCGUGCUACUGGGCUGUAUCUGACACUCAGGGACGAAAGCUAGGGGAGCGAAAGGGAUUAGAUACCCCUGUAGUCCUAGCCGUAAACGAUGGAUACUAGGCGUGGCUU